AUAAACAUUCUUGGUUUUGUUCUUGUGCUUCAUCAAAAUCUUGAAAAAAUACAAUUUUUGUUGGGUUUUAUUAAUGUCGAGGAAGAAGGUUAUGGAUUCUUUUUCUUUAGAUGAUAUAAUCAACCGUUUACUUGAAGUUCGUAAUCGACCAGGGAAACAAGUUCAGCUAUCUGAGGCUGAAAUUAGGUAUCUUUGUCUUGAGUCUAAAGAAAUUUUCUUGAAGCAGCCUAAUCUUCUUGAGUUGGAUGCACCAAUAAAGAUCUGUGGGGAUAUUCAUGGUCAGUAUUCUGAUCUACUGAGGUUAUUCAAAUAUGGUGGAUUACCUCCUAGAUCCAAUUACCUAUUCUUGGGCGAUUAUGUGGAUCGUGGGAAGCAAAGUCUGGAAACAAUAUGCCUUAUGUUUGCAUAUAAAAUAAAGUAUCCUGAGAACUUUUUCCUUUUGAGGGGAAAUCAUGAAUGUGCUUCCAUUAAUCGUAUAUAUGGAUUCUAUGAUGAGUGCAAACGAAGGUUCAGUGUUCGAUUGUGGAAGAUAUUCACAGAAAGUUUUAACUGCCUGCCUGUGGCAGCUCUGGUUGAUGAAAAGAUAUUGUGCAUGCAUGGUGGACUCUCCCCCGACCUUCAUCAUCUUGAUCAGAUACGGAACCUCCAUCGACCAACUGAUGUUCCAGAAGCUGGACUGCUUUGUGAUCUUUUAUGGUCAGAUCCUAGUAGGGACGUUAGAGGGUGGGGAAUGAAUGAUAGGGGUGUUUCCUACACAUUUGGUCCGGAUAAGGUGACAGAGUAUCUUCAGAAGCUAGAUCUUGACCUCAUUUGCCGUGCCCAUCAGGUCGUGGAAGAUGGGUACGAGUUUUUUCGCUGACAGACAGCUAGUGACUAUAUUCUCAGCCCCUAAUUAUUGUGGAGGGUUUGACAAUGCUGGUGCCGUGAUGAGUGUGGAUGAGACACUGAUGUGCUCUUUCCAGAUAUUAAAGCCUGCAGAGAAGAAGCCUAAGUUUGGAUUUGGAAGCACUACUAAAAAUGGAAUUUCUCUGACCAAAACUAAGUCAUUUCUGGGUAAAAUGGGAUGA